rnacentral:lncRNA from 1 species
UGGCCGGGCACACUUUUCUGGGUCAUGCCCGGCCUCGAAAUAUCGACACGUCGCAGCCCCACCUAAGACUCAACAGAGAGGCCAGCCCGCCGGUCUAACUCCUAAGCACAAAGGGUUCGUGGACCCAGUUCCCCUUCGCGCUCCUGCACGAUGCGUGGGCGGCCGACAUCAGUCCUAGCAUCCCUUAAUCACAAGCGCGAUGCAUCUCGGGACCACUCGGGCGGGCGCCGCUACAUUGCUGACAUCUGAAAAGCUUCGACUGAUACUGCGGCGUCGAGUACCCAUAAUUCUUCCCGCGUAGCCGGUUAGUACGAAAAGGACUCCAACCAACCGAGAUCAAAUACCCAAAUCCAUUAUCAUUUUAAUUAGGCCAUCGACACAAUCUCACGGGAAUCCACCCGUCUAUCUACUAAUCACCAAUGAUCCCAGUAACAUGGUCGAGUAACUGUGUGGUUGUAACAUCGGGGGGAAUCCGAGGUAUCACCCUCGUUGGAUUCCGAACGAUGUAUCUGUCGAGGUGGGCUUAGAGGAAUCACCCUGGGGUCCCACACUUGCGCGUUUGCACGACAGAGGCAUCGUCGGGAAUGGCGAAAGAGGAAUCACCCUCGAUAACCACGACCGACUAGCUAUACUACAUAGAUAUCAUCAGGAGUACUUAGCGAGGUGUCACCCUCGGUACCCGAUAGUAUCUCUGUAGUGUUGUACAAAUAAGAGGGGUGUAUGUGUUGUGUCGGGUCUGGCUCGUCGAUCAGGGAUCGAGAUUUGAAAACAAAGCGGGGCAACUGGACUACGGGGUCAGAGGGGAUGACUGCUCCACCUAUACUAAGAAGAUUAAAGGUACAAUAUUGAAAGUAGCAGUUCAUCAAAAAUAGGCUAUGCAUCAGAUAUAGGAGCUAACUACAACAGUAGCAAAAUACUAAUGCAAGCAUGAGCGAGAAAGACAUAGGCGAUAUAGGAAUGAUCAAUGGGGUUUGCUUGCCUUGCUGCUCUGCGGCAAAGGACUGAUCGGCAGGGUCGUAGAUGUACCCGGCAGCAGCGUCAGUCUCGGGGUCUACCGGGAAGAAGAGGGGGAAGAAACGAUAAAUAAUAGCAACGGUGCAACACAAUGCAUGACAUGGCAAGAUGCAGGCUAGACAUGAGCUAACGUAGCAACAUCCGUCAUAGACGGGUCGGAAGAAUAUGUGACGAUAUUUUCCGGGUCUCGGGCUACUACCGGUCGGACGGAAAACGAUGGAAAAGUUCCACGUUUGGUAUGCUAGGGACGCGUGAUAGACGAAUCGGCCGUGUAUCCGGGUUCGUCUUGUUCUGUUGAUCAACUUUCAUGUUAAAAAUAUUUUAAUCUGACUUACGGUUUAAUUAGUAUUAAUUUUUAAAGUUUUAUUAAUUAUUUAGGAAUUAAAAAACAUAUUUAAUUAAAUUGAUUAAAAGCAAUUAUGACAUCAGCAGUUGACUGGUCAACUGACCAGUGGGUCCCGUGCGUCAUAGACUCAGUUUUUAAUUAAGAUUAAAUAGCAUAUUAAUUUAGUGGGGGACCCACGUGUCAUACUCUAAUUAUUCUAAUUACCUAAUUAAUUAAAUAAAUAAUUAAAUAAAUAAUAUAUCUAUUUAUUUAUUUAUUAAAAACAUAUUUUUAUUUUUACAUUUUAAUUUUCACUUUUCUUAUUUAAUUUUCUUACACAGGGUGUGGGGCCUCUGUCGUAGACAGCGGGGUGGGCUGGCCCCACCGGUAAGUGGCACCAUGGCCACACACACAAUUUACACACACAUAUUAAACAUAACGUAUUUUCCUUUCUCUUAUACAAUACAUAAAAAAUACAUACAUGCAUCUCAUACACACAUACAUACACAUAUACACCUUUUUAUUUUCCUUUUCCCUUUUUUUAUAUCUAACACCUUUGUGCUAACUCUCUCCUUUGUGUGCUCAUCUCUCAACAGAGAGAAAGGAAACGUCUCCAUCAUCACCUACUCGAUCCUAACGACGUCGGAAUGGAGCGCCGAUUGCCGGAAUGGAACCAGGACGACACAAGGAAGGAGACGGUGGGAGGAGCCCGAAAAGGGGCUCACCGGUGUUGACGAGAGGGCCCGGUGUAGCCGGAGUUCUCGGGGAGGGGCGGAGGAGAUGGCGUGGAGGAGGACGAGGCGGUGGCAAUGGCGCGGUUCCGGUGACGUUGGUGACGAGGAGGGCCGGACGGAGGGCCGCCGUGAGGAGCCCCGGUGGGGAGGGGCCCCGGGGAUGGGGCCGCCGUGGAGAGCUCCGGUCGGUGGGGGUGAGGGGCGCUGCCGGCGUUGGUUGAGGGAGGGACGCCGCUGAAAGGGGGGUCCCGAUCGCCGGAGUUAGAGGAGGGAGAGGUUGGUCUCAGCCGCCGGGAGAGGGUCCGGUGUUGGAGGUGGGGGGGGGGCGCCGGNNNNNNNNNNNNNNNNNNNNNNNNNNNNNNNNNNNNNNNNNNNNNNNNNNNNNNNNNNNNNNNNNNNNNNNNNNNNNNNNNNNNNNNNNNNNNNNNNNNNNNNNNNNNNNNNNNNNNNNNNNNNNNNNNNNNNNNNNNNNNNNNNNNNNNNNNNNNNNNNNNNNNNNNNNNNNNNNNNNNNNNNNNNNNNNNNNNNNNNNNNNNNNNNNNNNNNNNNNNNNNNNNNNNNNNNNNNNNNNNNNNNNNNNNNNNNNNNNNNNNNNNNNNNNNNNNNNNNNNAGGGGGGGGGGGGGCGCCGGCGGGAGGGUGUUGGUGCGGUUGGUGGGGAUCGGGCCAGAGGGGAGGCUCUCGUGAGGAGAGCGAUAGGUGAGGGGCUCUCGGUAGGUGGGGGGGCUCGAGAGGUAGGGGCCUCGUGGGGAGGCAGGAGGGGGGAGUGAGCGAGCGGNAUGGGCUGGAUGGGGGGGGGGGCUGGGCCAUUUUUGGCCCAGUUGGGCCAGGGGGUUUUCUUUUUUGUUUUUUUGUUUUUAUUUCAUUAUUUUAUUAUUAUCUUUAAUUACUUUCUUUCCUUCAUUUAUUUUACACAAAGCUUCUCUUUCAAAUAUAUAGGGAUUACCUAAUAAUUUCAAAAGUGCCCGAUUCACAUUUAUAAUUCGUUAGAGAAUUUUUAUAACUCCCCGACGUUUCUAUUUCAACAACAUAAAACCUUUCUUGUUCGACUUUAAGUUUAAGUUUCGAAUUUUAAUUUGAUUUCAACUAACAAUCGCAAGAGCAAUGAUAAUAAUCACCAUGGCGUGGCAUCAUUAGCAUGUGAUCACUGUAGCUUAACUACAAUCAUCAGUGUAGCAAAAGUUGAGGAUGUCACAUUAUUACUGUGAGAAAUAAUUAUCUAUACUCUAUUGCAUCACUCGUUCCUCUUAACGAAAAAACCGAACGUAGAUCACAAGUAUCACAUGUCACAUGAAAAGUUCUGUUUUUAUCAUUUACAUAGUCGAGGACGAGCGUGAAUUAAUCUUGGGGAUGUUGAUAUAUUUCCAAUGUAUCUAUAAUUUUUUAUUGUCUCAUGCUACUAUCAACCUUGGAUACUUUAUAUGCAAUAAUAUACUACUUUAUGUCAUUUUGGGAACUAACCUAUUAACGUAGUGCUGAGUGCGAGCUCCCUUUUUUGUGUGUUUUGACUUUUUUCAGAAAAUCAAUACCAAACGAACUCCAAACCCAAUGAAACUUUUUGAUUAAUUUUUCUCGACCAAAAGACACCCAGGGAACCUUGGGAGCAGACCUGAGGAGCCACAAGGUAUCGACGAGCCCGGUGGCACACCUAGGGGGGUAAGGCUCGCCCCCUAGCUCGUGGGCCCCUCAUGGCACAUCUUAACCGAAUUUCGCUUGCAUAAAUUCUCAAAUAUUCCAGAAAUAUCAUAGACGUACCCGAAACACUUUUUCCGCCGCCGCAAGUCUCAAUUCUGCCGUGAUCCCAUCUUGAGACCUUUUCCUGUACCCUUGCGGAGGGGGAAUCGAUCAUGGAUGUUGUCUACAUCAACCUUGUUGCCUCCAUGAUGAUGUGUGGGUAGUACACCAUAGACCUCCGGGUCCAUAUCUAGUAUCUAGAUGACUUCUUAUUUCUCUUUGAUAUUUAAUACCAUUUUCUAUGCUAUUCUCACAUUGAUCUAUCCGAUGUAAUAUUUUUUUGUGGUGUGUUUGUUGGGACCCAAUGAAUUGUGGGUUUAUGAUCGGAUUAUUCACUGAAAGUAAUUGAGUCUUCUCUGAAUUCUAUUAUGCAUGAUUGUUUUAUCUUCUUAUUUCUCACUAAUCCAACUAUUUGGUUUGGCCAACUAUAUUGAUUUGUGUUUAAUAGGAGUGAUGCAUUGUAGUAGGUUCAAUCUUGCGGUGCUCUAUAUCCCGGUGACAGAAGAGGACAAUACCCAUAUUUUUGUUGUUGCUACUAAGGAUAAAAAUAUAGGGUAUGAACAUAUUGCUUGUCUUACUUUGUCUACAUGUGACCUUGCUCCAAGCAUUACUCUGUUUGCAUGAACUUAAUACCUAGAGAGGCAAGCAUAGAAGCACUCUCCAAGUUGAGUAAUAGUAGAAGAUGCAGAAUCAUUUCGGUCCACUUGUUUAUGAACAUGAUGCCUAUAUGCAUGAUCAUUGCUGUGAUUAACAUUAUAACUAUGUGAUUUUCUAUCAAUUGCCCAACAAUAUUUUGUCUACCCACCGUAUACUUUGCUUUCGAGAGAGAAGCCUCUAGUGAAAACUAUGGCCCCCAGGUCUAGUUAAUCGAUGUGCUAAAAACCUAGUAACCUCAUUGCCUUUUAUCACUUUUAUUUUACUUUUACUUUUACAUAUCUAUCUCUAUCAGAAUUAAUCGUUGUAAGUAACGAGUCCAAGGGGAUUGACAACUCUCUUGCCCGCGAUGGGUGCAAGCAUUUGGUUUUGUGUGUGUAGGUGCUGAUGACGGGAGUUUGCCAUGAUUCUUCUAUUGGUCUGAUAAAUCUUGUUCUCAACUCACGGAAAUACUUACCUCUACUAUAUUGCUUCACCCAUCCUCUUCGAGGAAAAAACAAACACAACUCACAAGUAGUAGUGCUCCCGAACAUGCAACCUUCAUCGCCGCCGCAUGGUUCCAUUCAUCACGUUGGAGCCAUUGAGACUCGGCCGCCAAUGCCUUGCGGUCAUGGGCCACCUGCUCACGAGAAACCCUCUCCUACUCGAGCUUUAAUCGAAGCUCCGCCUCAUACUCGCAGUUAGAAGCGGCCUUAGUCGGUCCCCUGCGGCGAUGCUUGCCACCGGAAGCCGCCUUGCUGGAGGAUCCAUGGGAUUUGUCCAUGAGGACAUCGUCAAGGAAGGAGUGUGAGAGAGGGGGAGGAUGCGAGGAGAAGACGAUUCGGUGGAUGGGGAAAUGGUAGCGGCGGAUGUCAGAAUGAGAUGGGGGAAACCCUACCAGAGAGGAGCGGUUGCCUUUAAGUAUCCACACAAAGACACACGUAUGCCAGCCCGUAGGCCGUGAAGGAGGUUGAGACGGAAUGGGCGGAGGGCCCAGCUGAUUUAGAGGCCCAGUUAUCGAGAAGGGGAGAGGUGGGAAUGAUAGCUGCUCGAGGACCCCCCGGACCAACAUGCCUAAGAGCAGACACAACAGAAGACGAACCCCUGCCUAGGGUUUCCUUCGAAUGGAUGAGCGGUACUAUCGGCAUAGCCAGGUCUGUCUCCAACGCUGAUGAUACCACUACAAUGUACACCAGCAACCUGCACGGUGUUGGGGGCAGCCCCGUAGUCACAACCUCUGGUCCUCCACCCAAAAUUCCGAUAGAUGGGGAGGGGAGGGGAGCGUUUACAAGAUUGACGACGGCGGUGAUCCAUCGUGGUCCAGACCAGCUCCGCCACCAACAAAGGAAUUGAUUGUAUGCGGCCACCAGGAGUAAACUUCCUGCACCCCCCGGCCUUGACGCCGACAGGGUCACCGCCAUCAUCGCCCAUCGUCCUCGGAAUCCGACAACUUCCCAUCGAGAGACCAAAAGCGGUUAAAUUCCAGGCAACAACCCAAGCUAGGAGACACGCCAGAUCUCACCGAUCUGUGGGAGGAAGCGCCACCUGCAAGAGAAGAGGGUUGAGGGGGUAGGGAAGGUGAUGCAAAACGCUGAGGGGGGUGUACAAAGCGAGGGAGCGGCAUGGGGCAGCAGAGAUCGGUCACAAGAGGGGUUGAGGAGGGAGGAUAGAGGGAGAGGGAGAAGGGGCGCCAUCGUACAAUCAACUUUUUACCCCUAGGGUUGCAGUUUGCCUUACUAAGUUCCCCAAUCCAUGUGAUAAAAUAUUAUUUUUGAAACAGAGGCAAAACUUUCGAUGGGCCGAGAGACUGAAGAUCAUCCAUCAAGCAGUGAGAGACGCCUUGCCUAUGGCGCUACUCUUGCCUUUGCCCAUUUUCUUUUGUUUGCCUCUUAUUGGUGUCCCCAUCAGGAGGCUAGCAAUCGGCCUGCCCAAACCAAGUCUAGCAACCUCCACACCGGCGAGCAAGUCACAAAGUUCUUUCACAAAGAGAGCGUUUGAAUUUGGAGUAGGUGCAACCAUAUUGGGCUCAGUGGUCAUGCCACUCACAAACAUCACUUGCUCGAUGAUUGGAGGCGAGGGAAGGGCAUCAACAUCUAAAACUCGGCGCUACAUGGCACCGAGAGGUAGGCUGGCUGGCGCCUGACACCCGAUGGACUUAGACGAGCGAGAGAUUGCAACGUCCAAAUCAUCACACCCCUCGGCAUCAAGUAUCUGGCUAGACUCCAGCGGUGAAGAUGGUGGUAAGGCCACAAUCAAGAUGGGGGGGGUCUACCUUUAGUUGCUCGAUGGGCAGAGGCAGAACCUGGCCCUCACACAGCUCCCGCAGCUCAUACAUGGUCACCAACAUCGGAGUCACAACCACAUCAUUGUCCAGUCCCUCAGAGGCUGACGUCGGCGAAAGGGUGCAAUACAUGAGUAAUCUGCAACACAGGUGGUGCCAUGGAGAGCUUGCCCACUGCAACCUCGACACACUCCAUGAAGCUCUCCAUCUGCAGCAUCCAACCUUGCAUGAAGCCAAUAACAUCACGCAGAGGUUGGACCGUCUCCUCAAGCUGGAAGGAAGCCACACCAAGGAGCUUAGAACGAUGACGAUGAAUUGCUUCACACACGCCGUCGUCGGCUACCAAAUCAUCACUUCCGGCUACUCGGUCGGGUGUGACUCAUGAUGCCAACCCAUGCGGAGCUUGGUAGGAGGCACUGACGCGACGCAAUGGCAAUGCCCGGACUUACUAGUCCGGGCAUUGGCUCCCUGUUCUGUCCCUGCUUGACUUCGUGGUAGAUGUUGCAUAUGCCUUCUUACUGGCCACUGUGCAGCAAUUUGUCGAGAUCCUUUUAGGUGCUCUCGAUGUGUUGAGAAUGGCAAUCGAACAUGUAAGUGCCGCAAUGCCAAGCGUCUCUUUAACUUAUUGGAAAGUCCUAUCGUGUCAUCGUUGCCGGGCCUCCCCAUGCUCCAGCUCCUCGCAAGGUCGAGAAAGAAGCAUCGCCCCUAUCAAAGACGUUUUGCCGUGAUUCUUGGGCAUCUAUCGUUACUGCUCUUGCUGGCUCUCUAGCCUUGACUGAUAAUCUCUGUGUGGCCCGCCUUGGAUCCAUGUGAUAAUUGAUGACUUCGUGUUCGGUGUAUUGGACGCCGAGCUAGCGUUUUUCCACCAGCAGUCGACAACGUAGAAGCUUCUUCCAGUCCUCCCAUCGAUGCAGCUGUACAAGGCUGACCAACGCGAGCACUACACCCAAAAAACCAGUAGUAGUACAACCACAUGAUGUUCAGCAGCCCCCGGCCGCUGCACUGGUCCCAGCAGCAGCCAUGUGUAUGUGUACACCGUCCCAAGAAGUCUGCGCGUAUUGCCAACGCCCUGAAAAGAACUUGUUUGUGCAUACGUGCGGAAUUCACGUAGAGAUAUGUACCCUGGAGGCGAGGAUGAUAACGAUGCGCCACAUGCGUCCAUCGUCCAGUCACCGCAUUAUGGGCCGUCAAAUUUUCUCCCCACAAAGACGGGUGCAACACGGAAAAGUAUACGCCCGCGACGAACUGUGCAUAGUCACAGCGUUAUCCCCGCGCCGGGCACCCGAGCAGAGCUGCUAUAAGUACCGCUGCAGGCCCAGCAGCUUCACCACACAUGCAUCCUACAAGCUCUCGUUGAGCUAUACAUUACACGAGCUUGUCAGCUGAAGGUGAGCUAGUUAGCAUGGCGCGGUAUGCUGCGCUCGCCGCGCUCCUGCUCGCCGUGGCGGUGGGCGGCGCCGCGGCGCAGGGCGUGGGCUCCGUCAUCACGCAAUCGGUGUACGCGAGCAUGCUGCCCAACCGCGACAACUCGCAGUGCCCGGCCAGGGGGUUCUACACGUACGACGCCUUCAUCGCCGCCGCCAACACCUUCCCGGGCUUCGGCACCACCGGCAGCGCCGACGACGUCAAGCGCGAGCUCGCCGCCUUCUUCGGCCAGACCUCCCACGAGACUACCGGUACGUCAAUCAGUCAGUCAGUGUUGCUUUCGGAACUCGAUCGUGGCUGCCUUGAUUAACCGUACGUGCUUGUGCAUGGAAUGCCAACGUUGCAGGAGGGACGAGAGGCGCCGCCGACCAGUUCCAAUGGGGCUACUGCUUCAAGGAGGAGAUAAACAAGGCCACGUCUCCACCCUACUAUGGACGGGGACCCAUUCAAUUGACAGGGUGAGAAAAAUUGCAAAUUAUUAUAGCACACUUUGAAGCAUCUUCUACAUGCAAAAUAUUUCCUCUGUAUCUAAAUAAUUAUAGUUGUUGCCAUGAAAAGAACAAAGGAAGUACCGUUUCAAAAAAAUAAAAUAAAUACCACACACUGAAAUAAUCUGUAGAAAAAUCUGCUUGAAAAGUACAGCAGUGUUGACAUUCAUUUUCGCAUGCAAUCAUUCUAGUAACAACAAAGACCCGAGGCCUUGGUUGCUUUGCGGAAAAGAUUGUUCUGAUGAACCAAUAAUUCCUUGUGCGAUUGACCAGGCAGUCCAACUACGAUCUCGCCGGGAGGGCGAUCGGGAAGGACCUUGUGAGCAACCCGGACCUGGUGUCCACAGACGCGGUGGUGUCCUUCAGAACGGCCAUUUGGUUCUGGAUGACGGCGCAAGGCAACAAGCCGUCGAGCCACGACGUCGCCCUAGGCCGCUGGACGCCGACGGCUGCCGAUACAGCUGCAGGUCGGGUGCCUGGAUACGGCGUAAUCACCAAUAUCAUCAACGGCGGGCUCGAGUGCGGCAUGGGCCAGAACGACGCCAACGUCGACCGCAUCGGCUACUACACGCGCUACUGCGGCAUGCUUGGCACGGCCACCGGAGGCAACCUCGACUGCUACACCCAGCGAAACUUCGCUAGCUAGACACUAUGGAUAGUGUAUGCACGUGUUACGAAUAAAGGGCUACACUCAUGAAUAAGGGGCAACACAUAUCCCAUCAUGAAAUAAAUAAUUCGAUAUGUGAUCCAGUUGAUCGUGUCGUAUGAUAAUACGAGUAAGUUGUUGUAACAAAUUAUGUAAAUUGUUCAAUAAAAUCAUAUCAUUACAACUGGUUUUUUAAAUAUGGUACACUAAAAAUAAUCCACAUACACGAGUAUACACUCAUCUCUAUAAAGAUACGCAUGCAUAUCCUAUUCUAUCCAUAUGAGCACCUUCGAAAGACUGGCCCAACACAUCAUCUUGAUAUUGACAAAGUCAUCACAUAUACCUUCAUAGUCGACGGAAAUGUCUCUUCUCACUAAACGCACAUGGUUGAAAACCAGAAAUAAAUGAAGAAAAAUAGGAACACUAAUGUCAUGUAUGGACUUGAACUCUAGUGAAUAUACAUAUCACUCUCUUUCUAACCAUCAAAGCACAGAUUGGUAUCAUUGUUUUAUUUUGUUGUAUGUGAGAGGAUGUAUAGCAGACCAACUAACGUGACAAAUAUUUUACUUGUUUAAUCAGUUCUUCAUAACAAAAAGGAAAGAAAAGUCAGGAUUUAUGAAAUGAAUGAGGCUAACGCGUGUUUCGUUGCAUCGGUCUUCACUCGUUUUUUUAGAAAAGGAGGAUGAUCCCCGGCCUCUGCAUCUGGAAGAUGCAUGCGGUCAUUUUAUUGAUUAUUCUCGAGGACCUUACAAAGCAGUACAACAAUAUGCCUGAAUCCGCCAUCUUGGCAACAUCUGCCGCUACUCCUAUCCAUAUGAUGAAGGGGUGCAAGCUGGACCAAAUACCCAGACCUCUCACCUAAGCCUAACAUCUAAAGCCGGAUACCCUGACCGAGCCACAUACCGGGUCCGGGGCACAAACCGGUCCGACGCACUCACAUGUGUCGUCGCCGCCAUCUUCCAUUGCUCCAUCUUCAGAUCAGAUUGAGGUACCAGCCUUGGCAGGUGCCUCCUCCAUCGACGCCAUCAUGAUGCCAAACGACGACAUCCACCAACGCGAGUCCAUCUCCAAGCAACUGACGAAGAUCCAUGCUAGGAUAGGGCCGCAUCACCGCCGUCGCCCACCACCCACAAGCGCCACCCAGCCCCAAGGUUCCCAAAGCGACGCCUUCAAGAAGGGAACGGCGCCGUGAGCGCCGCCGCCGCCCAACAAAGUUAGGGCUUUCGCCGGGAGACCUAGGGGAAGGGGAAGUGAGGGGAUCAGUCCAUACCAACGCCUCCAAGGAGGGGAACGACGCCCUCGGGCGUCGCCGUCGACGCGGCCGGCCAUGGCCGACCAGGGAUUUCGCCCGACCUAGAUCCCCACCACCAGCAGCACCUCCUGUACAAAACCGGCAAUCCAAGGAAGCGCGGCCCGACCAGGCUGGCCCACACGCCGAACAGGGAAGGAGGGGAGGCGCUAGAUCGCGCGCACCGGCCACCGCAAAAGCCGCCACCAGACGUCAGCGACCACCGGAUCCCGCCGCCCGCGUGGCCGAGACGCCGGAUCCACCUCCCGCACGGCUGCUAGCCUACCGUGCCUCGCCAAUGAAGCCGCCGUUCCAGAUCCGGAACUCCACAUGCAGAGGCAGGGUAACCUAGGCCCCGCCGCCACCAUCCUUGGCGCCCCGGGCUUGCCCGGCGGCUGCCUCAGGCGGCGGCGAGGAAGGGAUGGGGAGGGGGAGGCGGCUAGGGUUGGGAUGGAGGGAGCGUGGGAUUAACUUUAUAUAUAUAUCAGUUUACUGCAGACAGUUGUUUGAUUUUGGCUUUAUCAGUUGUCUUGAGUUUUAGUUAUAUUUUGGUGGUGGUUUUUUCCUUUCAUAUAUUUUGUUGGCUUUUGUUGAAAAUGAUUUUUUUAGAUGAGAUUAGAGUUGUUCGAUGUGGGGUUUUGGGGUCUUCAAACCUUUCGGCCUUGGAGUCAGCCGAGGAUGGUUUCAUGAGCCCUUUGGGAGCUCUCAUUCCAUACUAAAAUUGUAGAAUCGCUCCUAAGAGCAUCUCUAAUAGGGCAGCCUCUUUUCAAUUAUAGGGCAGGCAAAAUCGAGAUAUAGGACAGCAAAACAACAGUCGUUUUACCAGCAGCCCAAGAUAGGGCAGCACCCGCCCCAGCAGCCACUACUAAGAAAAGGGCUAUAGAUGAUAUAGAUAUUAAUGCCGCACCACACAAGCCGUGCGCCACUACUAUAUAAUAAUGGCGUACCAUGUGAGGUGUGCCAUUAGUGUGGUGGAUAUUAAUGGCGCACCACACUCUCGGUGCGCCACUACUAUAUAUAUAUAUAUAUAUAUUUUUGCAAAACUACUAAUGGUGCACCAGCACCUGGUGCGCCAUUAGUAACCUGGUUACUAAUGGCACAUAUGUUAGUAGUGCGCCACUACUAUAAAAAAAAUUGGUUUUUUUUUGCAAACUACAAAUGGCGCACCAAAGCUAGUGCGUCAUUAGUAAGCAGUGUUACUAAUGGCGCAUCUAUUGGUGGUGCACCACUACUAUUUUUUUUACAGAACUACUAAUGGUGCACCAGAGGAGGUGCGUCAUUAGUAACCAGGGUUACUAAUGGCGCAUAUGUAGGUGGUGCGCCAUUAGUAACCUGGGACCAGCUAGAUAUUUUGGACAACCACCUACCACACUCACUUUCCCCACUUUCAUUCUCUCCACCUCCUCCUCCAAGCUUGUCUCAGGUGCCUCCUCCUCCUCACCUCAUUUGCAUCAUAGAUUCACCCAAAUUAAGUGGUUAAAUUACCUUUUUUUGAUAGGUAAGUAAGGGGAAAGCUUUUAUGUUGUAGAUCUACUUUUUUCUCCCUCCAACAACGUGCACAUGCACUUUUUAUGGCCUAGCUAGAUCUACGUAUGUUUGUUGUGUUGCAUAUGUUUGUGGUGUUGCAUAUUUGUUUGUGUUUGCAGGUACCGGUAUUUGAAAUGCGAUAGUUGCCAAUAUUUUCCCGGAAUGUUGAUUCAUUUCCGUUUCGGUGAGAAUUUGGCACUAUGCAUUCUUUUUUGUCCUAUUUUUAGGCAAAGUCAUGCCAAAAAAAAAUUUUGGUUAUAAAAUAUCAUUUUGCUUUACCCCGCACGCGACCAUGGUCCGCACGAUGACCGAAGGCAUCGUGAAUAGGUUUUUGAGCUCCGCGAAGGCCGAGAUGCUUCAAAAGAACGAGACGAAGAUAAGAUGUCCGUGUCGAAGAUGCAAGCUGAAGAGCCUUAUGGACCCGGAUUCCGUAAAGGUGCGGGACCACCUGCUCUUGCGUGGUUUCAUGGAUGGCUAUCGGUGGCAAGGUGAUGAAGAUGAUUAUGAAGUCGUCCAUGGGGGCCGGGAAAGAAAUGAGGAAGGGCAUGAGCAAGACAACCGCGGCGAGGGCGGGCGAGAAGACGAAGAAUCUCCAGGACACAGUCAUCAUGUAGAAGAUGCCGGACAUGAUGAUGAGGAAGAUGCCGGAGCAGACGAAGGGCAUGAUCAUGAAGAUGAAGAUGCCGGAGCAGACGACGAUGGACCAUCCAUGCCCUGGGUGCAGGACCCUCAUAUUCAAGAGCUGCUUCUCAAGCAGACGGAUAACGCAAGAGCUGCCGCCCGAGAGAAAGCCAAGCUGGAUCAACUUGAGAUAGACGCGGUUACUCCAUUGUAUGAAGGAUGCAGGCCCGAGGAUACCCGCCUGAAAGUAAUGCUCAUGGCUCUGGAGAUGAAGGUAAAACACAAAAUGACCGACGCAUGCUUCGACGAGAACAUGUCAUUCUGGCACGAACGUCUUCCCAAGGGGAACAACUGCCCGACCAGUUUCGAGGAGGCAAAGAAAAUCGUGUGUCCUCUGGAUUUACCGCACGUGAAAUACCAUGUGUGCAUGAACAAUUGCAUCAUUUAUCGGGACGAGCACGCGGAGUCUACCAUAUGUCCGGUGUGCAGCGUCAGUCGAUACAAGAAGAGGAAGAAAGCUCCUCAAAAAGUGGUGUGGUACUUUCAUAUCACUCCUCGUCUGCAACGGUAUUUCGCGGACCCUAAGGUAGCAAAGCUCCUGCGUUGGCACGCGGAUAGGGAGGAGAAAAAGCGAGAAGAUGACGGAAAUGAUCCGGAGAUAAAUAAAAAAGACAAGAUGCUGAGUCACCCUAAGGAUGCGAGCCAGUGGCAAGCGUUGAACUACGAAUACCCAGAAUUUGGGGACGAUCCAGGGAACAUCGUGCUGGGCGCGAGCACCGAUGGAGUCAAUCCGUUUGGCAGCCAGAAAAUCACACAUAGCACCUGGCCUGUGUUUGUGUGGAUGUACAACCUUCCCCCUGGUUGUGCACGAAGAGGAAGUACAUUCACAUGAGUAUGCUAAUUGAAGGGCCUAAACAACCAGGGAACGACAUCAAUCUAUAUCUGGGGCUGUUGAAAGAGGAGCUAGACACGCUGUGGAAAACGCGAGCCAAUACGUGGGACGCCGCAGAGAAAGAAUAUUUCCCUAUGAGAGCCGCACUGCUCCCGACGGUGCACGACUAUCUCGGUUAUGGAUAUGUCGCGGGGCAGGUGGUCCACGGGUUUUCUGGAUGCGUCAGGUGCAUGGAUGACACAAUGUAUCGCCAGCUAGAUAGAGAUCCCGGGUCUUCAAAAACCGUGUUCAUGGGACCUCGAAGGUGGCUUCGCAACGAUGACACAUGGAGAAAACGCAAGGAUCUGUUCGAUGGUGAAACCGAACCCCGAAGACGCCCCCUUAUGAGGAGCGGCGAGGAAAUAUACGAGCUGUUGAAAAAUUGGAAAAAGUGCCCACCGCCGGGAAAGGCGCUAGAGCCGGGAAAGAAGCGAAAGGCGCUAGAGCCGCUCCUGAAGGUAUGGAAAACGAGGUCUGUUUUCUGGGACUUGCCGUACUGGAAGAUCCUCCGUGUGCCUCACAGCCUUGAUGUCAUGCAUAUCAUGAAGAACGUGUGCAAGAGUCUGCUUGGUACCCUGCUCAACAUGCCAGAGAGGACCAAAGAUGGACCGAAAGCAAGGGCAGACUUGAAAUCAAUGGGCAUCAGGGAGGAGCUUCAUGCUAAUAAUGAUGAUGAUGAUGAUGAUGAGGCGAAGCAGGACACGGAAAGUCGUCGCAAAGGCAAAAAGUACAAGAAGACCGGAAAUGACUUUCCUCCCGCGUGCUUCACUCUAAGUCAGGAGGAGAUCGAUCAGUUUUUCACCUGCCUCAUAGGAGUAAAACUUCCUUACGGUUACGCGGGGAAGAUAAGCAGAUACCUAGACUCAGCGAAGCAGAAGUUUAGCGGGAUGAAGUAUCACAACUGUCACGUGCUGAUGACGCAGAUACUUCCAGUUGCAAUCCGUGGGAUCAUGGACGCGCACGUCCGUGAAAUGCUUUUUGACCUAUGCAACUUUUUCGACGUCAUCUCUCGGAAGUCGGUUGGCGUGAGGCAACUCAGAAGGCUACAGGAAGAGAUCGUGGUGAUACUAUGCGAGCUUGAGAUGUACUUCCCGCCCGCAUUCUUCGACGUUAUGGUGCAUCUGCUGGUCCAUAUCGUGGAGGAUAUCAUCCAACUCGGGCCGACGUUCCUGCACAUCAUGAUGCCGUUCGAAAGGAUGAAUGGUGUCAUCAAAGGAUACGUCCGCAACAUGUCACGUCCAGAGGGAAGCAUAGCCAGGGGCUUUCUGACCGAAGAGUGCAUCUCCUACUGCACGAAUUAUCUAGGCAUCGAGAACCUCGUUGGUCUGCCCGUCAACAGGCACCUCGGCAGGCUCGCAGGAUGGGGUCACCGUGAGGGUCGCCGCGAAAUGCAUGUCGACUUCGAGGGUCGACUCGCCGACUUUGAAAGAGCAAACCUAGUCGCGCUACAACACAUAGACGUGGUCGAUCCUUGGGUCGUAGAGCACAAAACCUUUAUUGAAAAGACGUACAAUGACCGAGGCCAACAGAGGACGGACGGAGAUAUAAUCAAAGAGCACAACUCAUGUUUAACGCGUUGGUUCAAGCAGAAGCUUUUGUCGUAGCCUUUACAUGAGGAUUCUUCCGCGGAAGAACAACUCAUAUUCGCCUUGUCACAGGGCGCCGAGCACAACCUGAUGAUGUAUGAGGCGUACGAUACCAACAGCUACACAUUCUACACCGAGGGAAAGGACAUGAAGAGCGAUGGUUAUCAGAACUCCGGGGUAACGAUGGAAUCCUACACCGGUAACGACAAGGACAGAUACUACGGAAGGAUCGAGGAGAUCUGGGAGCUGAGCUGCGCUGGAGAGAAGGUCCCGAUGUUCCGUGUCAGAUGGGCCAAGAGCGUCAUAAAAGAAGACCGGUAUUUCACCACCAUGGUUAUACCCGAAGCCAAAUCCAAGACCGCGGGCGCAAAAGUCACCGCGAAAAAUGAGCCAUGGGUACUGGCUUCCCAAGUGGACCAAUGCUUCUUCAUUACCGACCCGCCAAAGCCCAGUCGUGUUGUCGUGAGGAGAGGCAAAAGGAAGAUCAUCGGAAUGGAUGGAGUCGCCAAUGAGCAAGACUUCGACAAGUACGGCGACCCGAAGAUGGAACAUGACGACGAUGAUGAAGUACCAGCAUACACCACAAGAAGAAGCAGGACCACCCUACCUAAAGGACGUCCGUUCAAGAGAAGAACUCCAUUUACGAAAAAUAAGGGCAAGAAGAUUGUGAACAAAUAGCUAGCUAAGAUCGAUUAUAUUUAAAUUUGAUGAUAUUUUUUCAUAUUCAAUAUGAAAAAAUAUUGAAUAUUCAUGAGGACACUCGAUCUCGAUCCCCUCCAUCUCGAUCGCUAUCACCCCUCGCAAGAUCCCCCUCGCCGCCGAGCACCCCCCGCACCCUCCCCCGCUCCACCACCGUCGCCGUCGGCAUACUUACCACUAGAACACCUAUUCAGAAGAUACUAGGCACUUCUCAAAAAAAUACUAGGCACUUCUCAAACCAAGGUGCAACCAGCACAAGAAAACAAUGCAAAAAAAAUAAAAAUACUAGGCACUAGAUGUUGUUGUGAGGCACUAGAUAUUCAUAGGCAUCUAAUUGCAAACAUAAAAAAAAAUACUAGACAUCUACUUGCAAACAUAAAAAAAUUUACUAGGCACUUCUCAAACCAAGGUGCAACCAGCACAAGAAAACAAUGCAUAGAAAAAAAGGAAAAAAGAGAGGGGGGAAGAGGAUUCGAACCCGCAACCUCCUGCUAGGAGGCAAAACCCACGGACCACUGUGCUGCUACUUCGGAGGUUAACAACAUAGAGAAGGCGCACCUCAUAUACAUGCGCCAUUACUACAUAAAAAAACAUUCUAAUGGCGCACCGCUCGGGGUGCGCCAUUCCUAAGCCGGGCCGCGCCCUCCUCUCUUCUCCCGCGGCCUCCCCCUACCCCUUUCCACCAAACAGCAGCUCCCCCACCUUCGUCCACGCAGCCCACGGAGCUCUGGCGGCGCUAGGGUUUUCUCCGCCUCUGCCUCCGCCUCAGAUAGCCGAGGUGCGAAAUAUUAUCAGCCCCAACACACUCAAGAAGGUGGUCUCUGAGCAGAUGAACUGGAUCCCAUUACAUCAGCAGAAGAAGGGAUGAAAAAGAAAGACUAACAAGGGUGCGAGCCAGCCGGCACUGAGUACGAUCCGUGCUCUGGACGGGCCACCUUCACCUAAGGAUAUCUCGAGGAGGGUGCAUGUGGCGGGUAGGCCGAUGCUACCGACUAAUCUACUCAAUGCUGCAACUGGUGCUAUGCGGAGUCUGCAUGACAGUGUUCUUUGUUUGGAGAAGCGGCGUCUCUCCGAGAAUAAUGUGGCAUACCCGGUUUUCGUGGCCAAGGUGCCAGAGGGCAAGGGCUUUGUCGAUAGGCCAUCGGGGGUAUGAUCGUCCUGCGGUUUGUUGACAUCUUCGCUAUGUUUAACCUUCAUCCGCUGCACUACACCUUCGUUCGGCUAUUUUCGCUGAGUAUGGAGAUGCGGAUCAUUAGAGACAAGACCCCGAACCUAGUGAUAGUCGACCCCUUCUAUAUGCGUGCCAAGAUCUUGGGCAGCGCUGGGGACCGGCAAGUCACGAGUUCAUACCUCGAAGGCGUCAUUCUGGCAAACUCAGAAAAGGAUAACUUCCUCGUGCCUUACUUUCCCUGGUAAGUUAUCCCCUCAUCGCCACGUAACAUAUGAUUUCUUAGAUUUUGAUCGUCCUUUUUUUCUAACAUUCCGUGUUUUGUGCAGUGACACACGUUGCACACUCAUCCUCUUAAGUCUGAAAUAUUCCACGGCCACGUAUUUCGACUCGGACCGUCAGUCAAAAAAAGACUACACAAAUAUCAAGAAAGUUCUUGAUGAAGCUCUUCCCGGCUAUGCCAUAUCUGGAGGCACCUUCAGCAGGACAAGUCUCAGGCACGGCAAGCACGUGUUCACCCACAAUACGACGUUCGCCUGCGUCAAGCAGCCGCCUGGCAGUCAGAAGGAUGCCUACUACGCCCUCCAUCACAUGCGGGCGAUCAUACGGGAUAGUAAUCACCUUCGGCUACCAAAUAAUCUCAAAUAUUGGGCCGCACACUUGUCGGCAAUCCAGGAUGCGGACAUCAGACAAGAAUUCUUUCGCAUCCAGUCGGAGUUUGCAGAAAUCAUCCAUCAAGAUGUCCUUCGUACCUCGGGGCAGUUCUACCUCAGAUCUCCGCUGUCCUAUACUGAGAUAGAUACAAUGCUACAAAUGCAGGCUGACAACGACCGCAAUUUCAUGACCAUCACGAAAGAUGGCGGCUUCAUCCACGUUCCCGUGAAUCGCUACUAAUUCAUGUUGCAAUAUUAAACUUUAAUGAACUGGUAUGUCUCUUUGGUUUGGACAGUCGUUCAACUUAUAUAUAAUCGAUGCUAUUUAUUAGUAGGACCAUGAAUCGUGCUGUUAUAGUUGUAAUAUUAAACUUUAAUGAACUUGUAUGUCUCUGUGAAUUGCUACUAACGUUUUGUUUGGCUAGUGCAUAGAGAUGCCGUCGUAUGUCGUGUACAAGGGUAAGGUUCCCGGAGUCUACGACGACUGGGAGGAGUGUCGGAGACAGGUUCACCGAUUCAGCGGUAACAGUUACAAUGGGUACACCACAAGGGCGGAGGCGGAAGUUAGAUACGCGCGCUAUCUACGGGAGAGAGGAGGGAGCGUUGGAGGAACCGGAUGAAGACCAGUUUCAUUGCGAUUAUGCUCAUCGUGAUGACCGCAUCUCUCUUCUAUAUGUGAUGGUAGUUUAGAUGGUCGAUAUAUCAACUUGUAAUGUGAAGACAAAUUCGCUGCUCGCGGUCUCGAGACUUGUAGUAUUCUAACUUUUUUCGGUAUUUUAAAUUCGGAGACUAAUAUGAUGAAUUGUAUUCGGAGACUAAUCUUCUAUUGUAUUCGAUAAAUCUGUUGUUUAUAUGUUGUGCUAUCCAUAUUCUGUGCAAUAAUAUAUUUUGUAAUAUGUGCAAAUAUCAGAAAAAAUAAAAUAAAUACCUAAUAUUCAUACUAGUGACGCAUCACUCAGCACACUAGUGCGCCAUUAGUAAGCGAGAGCAUAUGGGUAAAUAUGGCCCUGGGAGGCAUACUAAUGGCGCACCACAAGCUAUACUAAUGGCGCACCAGGAUAUAUACUAAUGGCGCACCAGUAUCUAUACUAAUGGCGCACCGUGAGCAAUACUAAUGGCGCACCGUGAGCAAUACUAAUGGCGCACCGUGAGCAAUACUAAUGACGCACCGUGAGCAAUACUAAUGGCGCACUACCUGGUGCGUCAUUAGUAUACCAGAUACUAAUGGCGCACUUGUAAUGCGCCAUUAGUAAAAAAAUCUAAUGGCGUGAUGCUAGUGGCGCACCUAUAGUGCGCCAUUAGUAGCAAAAAAUGGUGCGCCAUUAGAAGGCCUUUUCCUAGUAGUGAGCUGCCCUCCAUGCUUGGGCUUCUUCCUCUUGUGCAAAAGCAAAAUCAAAGCAAUGUCUUCUUCAUCCUCCAAAUCGUAUUCCCCAUCGGAUGAAUCCUCAAUCAAAACCAUCUACAAACAAACUAGACCGUAUUAAAAAGUGUAAUCCUAAACUACAAACACAAAAAGCAAACAAAAAGUUGAAUACACAUUACCUCGAACACCUUGCGGGCGGCCGAACCGGUGGGUGGCAGCUGCGUCGCCGGAGCAAGCCUCUCCUAGUUGCUGCUGCCGUCGCUGGGUGUUGCAGGCGGCCAAGGGGAAGCAUAAGAGCGUCGUCGGGGUCGCGGCGGCGGCAUAAUCGGCGUCGGUGCCCCGGAUUCGUACAGCGGCGGCGGCGGCGGCAGAUCAACAAUUUAGGGCACUAAACCUCUUGCCUACUUGGGCAGCGGUAUUCCGACGACGAUGGGCAGCGGUAUUCCGGCAGGGGCGAGGUGCGGGAGGGACCGGCGGUGGACGGGCAGCGGAUUUUGGGCAGGGGCGCGGCCUACGGGCGGCGGAUUUGCGGCGGCGGCGGCGGAUUUGCACCGGCGGGGUCGAGGGCGGGAGAGGCUGGGAAAUUUUCGGGUGGCAGUUCGGCUGCGCGCGCGCGUCGUUGGGAAAAUAGGGCAGCCACACAAGUGUUGUAUAUUUGCAACAGUUGGACCAAAUUUAGGGCAGUGUUGUAAAAAAUAUAGGGCAGUUGAUGAAGAUAGGGCAGCUGUUGGAGCACGUUUUUGCCUCUUUUCUGCCCUAUAUGACAGUUUUUAUGCCCCACUGCCCUAUAUAGGGCAGCUGUUAGAGAUGCUCUAACACUCACAUAUGACGGUCACUAAACCUCUUGCCCACUUAGGUUGGCUCCCUGCUCAGCUUGCUCGUUUAGCUUUUUUUUCAGCUCGCUCGACUACUAGCUUAGAAAAAAAUACUGUCCUUUUUCUUAUUUAAAAAUGUUCUCUCUUCUGCUUCUUUCCCACGCCCCCUUGCAACCCUGUUCUUUCUUCUUCUUCUUCCCCAAGAAGAAAACAACGACCCUGUCAUGGAGAAAUCCUCAUUGAGACCGGCGGUGAGAGUGCUAAGCAUGAGCUCGUCGGAGAUUUUGGUGUCGAUGUCGCGAAGCUCAUCGGCGAGCAUCUUGAGCCGCAUGCAAUAGUCAACGAUGGUGGAGUCAUCCUGGUGGCACCUGAAGAGCUCUUGUUGCAAGAAAACAAGACACUGAAGCUUGUUAUCGGUGAAGAGCGCAUUGAUCUUGGUCCACACGGUGCAAGUAUCGUCGUCAUCGGUGACGACCGUGUGGAAGAUGUCCUUCAAGAUGGUUUGGUAGAACCACCGAAUGAGAGUGACCUCGAUGGCGGACCACUCCGGGACGCCCUUCAUGUACUCAGCGUCGACGAAGCCAUCUAUGUGUUCGGUGAGGUAGUACUCGCGGAAGACAAGGUUGAAGUAGGUCUUCCACGCGUAGUACGAGGAGGUGGAGGAGUCGAGGCGGAUGGGAACACGGGCAUCGAUGUUGAUGUCGCGGAUGGCUUCGACGAAGGGUGCAGGGCCGGCGAAGGGGUUGGUGCUGGAGGUGGCCGGCGAAUUCAUGGGGCCGGCUGCGGGGGAGAGAUGGCGAGCGGCGGCGGCGGCUCGGGUGGGAGAGGGGUAGCGGAAGCGAUGAGGCGUGCGGCAGCGGCGGCGGCUGCGAUAGGGUUUAGGUUAGGAACUUUUAGGAUGAUACCAUGUAGAGAGAGAUAUGUUUGGCAAUGCAACUCAUAAUAUUGAUUGAAUAUGCACAGAUAUACAGAAUACAAUAUGAACCUCUAUCUCAACUAUACAAAGGCUAGGAGAUAGACCAAACUAUGUACAUAUACACAUGCCCGACCCUAGGGGGGGGGGGGAGGNNNNNNNNNNNNNNNNNNNNNNNNNNNNNNNNNNNNNNNNNNNNNNNNNNNNNNNNNNNNNNNNNNNNNNNNNNNNNNNNNNNNNNNNNNNNNNNNNNNNNNNNNNNNNNNNNNNNNNNNNNNNNNNNNNNNNNNNNNNNNNNNNNNNNNNNNNNNNNNNNNNNNNNNNNNNNNNNNNNNNNNNNNNNNNNNNNNNNNNNNNNNNNNNNNNNNNNNNNNNNNNNNNNNNNNNNNNNNNNNNNNNNNNNNNNNNNNNNNNNNNNNNNNNNNNNNNNNNNGGGGGGGGGGGGAGGGGCGGCCGCCACGGGCCCCCGGAACCAGAGGGGCCCCCAACUCAGGUACGUGUGAGCGCCCCACCCCCAAUCUAUCGGAGACGCCACCAGAGCAGUUACAAAGUAGCUGCGGUAUGGCUCCGGGAAGAAGAAAGUCGAAACGGUAUUUCUUUUAGCUAAAUGGGCUUUGGGCCUUUGUUUCCUUUAGCUAAAUCGUGGUGUUAAGUGGUUGUGGGCUUCCUCUAAAAGAAGUAGUGGUGGGUUAUGUGUAAGAAAAAAUGAUGACGGGCCACACCAAGCUAGAGGAGGGAGAGGAGCACAUCGGUACAAAACUUAUAAAAGAAAGAAAAAAGAAGAUUGGUGAAUUCACAUGCCCACGUCUUGCCUGGUAUUACAACCCUGGCAAACUAAUAAGUUUUUCUUUUUUAUUGUAAAAUAAAUCUAUUUUUUUGCAAGUGUAGCAAACUAAUACUCUAUCUUGAUAAGAAAAAUAAACAUAUCAAAUUCAGUAUAUGUGCGGAGUCCCUAAAGAAAUGUAUCGUAGCGGAGAGACAAUAGCAACACGCACGGUGACGACGGACUGAUGACAUGAGCGUGCACUAUGGUCAUACUAUGAUAGCCAAAUAUGGAUGACUCAGUUGGUACUCUCGUCUUCAUAACUUUAUAUCAAUAAACACAAAUUGAAUUGAUUGUUCUACUUUGGUGUUAUGAAUUGAGAGUUGAUUGUUCUACUUUGGUGUUAUGAAUUGAGAGUUGAUUUUCUACUUUGGUGUGAAUAUUCAUAUGUGUCAUUUUAAUUGUUAUUUUUCUUCUUUAUAUUUUUGUAUAUAUGAACUUUUUUUUUCAUCUAUUAAGUUUUUUCAUUCAUAAAUUUAUUGUUUGCUCGGUCAUCAUGCUUGCGCGUAACUUGCCUGCAAAUGGGUAAAUGCAAUUUAGAUGAUCUUCUGUAUUCUGCUGCCUCAUUGUGACGACAAACUCUUGAUAUCAUGUGUGUCCCGGUCAGAAAUGACCCAUCACCGCCCUCAACGAGUCCUACCAAGAUGCGGUAUUGUGCACAUUAGCCCCCGCAUCGUCGUGAUCUUAUAGAACACAUGUGUCUGAUUCUCUUUCCAUAGAUAUCAUCGUUAAAGACCUUGUGUGCAAUCUUUUUGUGUGUGUGUGGUGGGGGGCUACCGGCCUUGCAUAUACAUGCAAACUACUUACUCCGUUUUUAAAUAUAAGUCUUUAAAGAGGUUUCAUGAAUGAACUACAUAUGGAUGUAUAUAGACAUAUUUUAGAGUGUAGAUUCACUUAUUUUGCUUCUAUAUGUAAACUCCUAAUGAAAUAUCUUAAAAGACUUAUAUUUAGGAACGGAGGGAGUAUAUGUUUAACAAGAUCAUUGGGCGCGGACCGCGGAGGUAGCGUAUUUCCACGAGCCAGCCGGUGACGACGAUGUAGAAGCUUCUUUCAGGGCCCCCCGUCCAUGCGCUGUGCAAGUACAAGUCUGACCGACGUGAGGCGCUGUACCAAACGAAGCGUAGCAAGUACAGCCAGAAUCAUCUGAAGCUUAGCAGCCAGCGGCCGCCGGCCGUUACCUGCAGCAUGCAUGUGACUGCACACUACGCCAAGAAGUCCGCGGCUAUAGACAACGCUCUGAAAAUAACUCUUUUGCACAGACGCGUGGAAUUCCGUGGUGGCCCGUCGGAUUUUCCCCCCGCAAAUAAAGAUCGCGCGCGCAACGUGGAACAGCUGGAUAGGGUAGCACGAGCCACGAACGGUGCAUCGUCAGCGCAUUUCCCUGCGCUGCACCCGAGCUGAGCAGCUAUAAAUUGAGCUGCAAGCCCAGCAGCUUCAUCACACAGGCGUCUUGCAUAGCUCUCCUUGCGCUAUACUACAUUUCACGAGCCGACUAGCUGAAGGUGAGUUAGCAUGGCGAGGCCUGCUGCCCUCGCGGUGUGCGCCGCCGCGCUCCUGCUCGCCGUGGCGGUGGGCGGCGCCGCGGCGCAGGGCGUGGGCUCGGUCAUCACGCGGUCGGUGUACGCGAGCAUGCUGCCCAACCGCGACAACUCGCUGUGCCCGGCCAGGGGGUUCUACACGUACGACGCCUUCAUCGCCGCAGCCAACACCUUUCCGGGCUUCGGCACCACCGGCAGCGCCGAUGACAUCAAGCGCGAGCUCGCCGCCUUCUUCGGCCAGACCUCCCACGAGACCACCGGUACGUCAGUCAGAGAGUGUUAAUUACUUGUUUUCGAUUGUUGCUUUCAACAGAAUUCGUGGAACUUUUGAUUCGGAUAUGAAGGGCUUGAUUGAAUCGUGUACGUGCUUGUGCAUGCCGUGUCGACGUGUAGGAGGGACGAGAGGCGCCGCCGACCAGUUCCAAUGGGGCUACUGCUUCAAGGAAGAGAUAAGCAAGGCCACGUCUCCACCCUACUAUGGACGGGGACCCAUCCAAUUGACAGGGUAAGCAAAAUCCCAUGUUAUGGCCUAUAUGGCUACAUGACAAUCUCUAAAGCAUCUUCCACAUGAAAAACAAGUAUAUUGGUCAACACUGAUAUCACAGACUGAAAUAAUCGGUAGAAAAAAUCUACUUGAAAAGUACAGCAGUGUAGUUGACAUUCUAGCUAGCCGCGCUAAUCCCGACCUGAUCCAAAUAAGCUUUCGCUUUCGCGUGCAAUAUACAGUUAUUAAUAACAAUAUAAAUACUACCAGGCUUCGGCGAUGAGAUUGUUCUGAUGAACCUAUAACUCUUCCUCGUGUGAUUGACCAGGCGGUCCAACUACGAUCUCGCCGGGAGAGCGAUCGGGAAGGACCUUGUGAGCAACCCGGAUCUGGUGUCCACGGACGCGGUGGUGUCCUUCAGGACGGCGAUGUGGUUCUGGAUGACGGCGCAGGGCAAC